rnacentral:lncRNA from 1 species
AUGGAAGGCAAUUUAUAUAACACAAAGCUCUCAAUCUUUUUUUUUUUUUUUUUUGGUCUGUGUUUUGGACAAAGAUAGAGAACUCGGUGUUAUAUAAAUUGCCUGCCAUUCUCAAUUAGUUAUUUCUCGCCCAGAGUUCGUUAGUCUUUUUCGGUCAAAAGGGAUCGUUAGUCUAUUAUCUCUUCACUCUCACAAUAAUAACAUUAAUAGUUAAUAUAAUUUAUGCUAAAAAAAUAAAAGAAAAAUGUGCCUUUGUGAGCAAUAUAUAGGAAUGGCAACGAGCUGGUUCAGGGCGGGUAUGGUGAUAAAAUCCCCGUAUCCGUCCCAAAGAAGAAAAAUUGCAGCUAGGUAA